AAUGAACGCUGGCGGCGUGCCUAACACAUGCAAGUCGGAUGUGCCGCAAGGUGCAUGGCAGACGGGUGAGUAACGCGUAGGGAUCUACCUUUUUGUGGGGAAUAACGCUCCGAAAGGAGUGGUAAUACCGCAUGAGACCGUGGCCUGGGAUGGUUACGGUGAAACCUGGGGACCGCAAGGCCUGGGCAAAAGAGGAUCCUGCGUCUGAUUAGCUAGUUGGCGGGUAAUGGCCCACCAAGGCGACGAUCAGUAGCCGGCCUGAGAGGGUGAUCGGCCACACUGGAACUGAGACACGGUCCAGACUCCUACGGGAGGCAGCAGUGGGAAUUUUGCGCAAUGGACGAAAGUCUGACGCAGCAACGCCGCGUGGGUGAUGAAGGUCUUCAGACUGUAAAACCCUGUCGUCAGGGACGAAGGUGGCAGUGUUAAUAGCGCUGUUACUUGACGGUACCUGGAGAGGAAGCCCCGGCUAACUCUGUG
rnacentral:rRNA from 1 species